GACGAACGCUGGCGGCGUGCUUAACACAUGCAAGUCGAACGGAAAGGCCCUGCUUUUGUGGGGUGCUCGAGUGGCGAACGGGUGAGUAACACGUGAGUAACCUGCCCUUGACUUUGGGAUAACUUCAGGAAACUGGGGCUAAUACCGGAUAGGAGCUCCUGCUGCAUGGUGGGGGUUGGAAAGUUUCGGCGGUUGGGGAUGGACUCGCGGCUUAUCAGCUUGUUGGUGGGGUAGUGGCUUACCAAGGCUUUGACGGGUAGCCGGCCUGAGAGGGGGACCGGCCACAUGGGGACUGAGAUACGGCCCAGACUCCUACGGGAGGCAGCAGGGGGGAAUAUUGCACAAUGGGCGGAAGCCAGAUGCAGCAACGCCGCGUGCGGGAUGACGGCCUUCGGGUUGUAAACCGCUGUCGCCUGUGACGAAGCGUGAGUGACGGUAAUGGGUAAAGAAGCACCGGCUAACUACGUG
rnacentral:rRNA from 1 species